CGGGAGUCCUUGGACUGAAUUUCCCAAGCACUGCUCUUGCUGUGGGUUUUGUUGGUGGUGCCUGUGGUCUCAGACAUGCCCAGAAGCUACUGAAAAUUAGUUGGCGUGUUAACGACAUUUGAUGCAUCAGUUGAUAGUAAAGUAAAAACUAAGUCUCGGCUUUGAGUUUAUGUGCUACAGUUUUGUUGAAUUAUGUCCAGAUGGUUGUCGAGAGAAUUUUUCUUAACAGAUGAGGGCAUUUGCAAAAACCAACAAGUCUAUGGGGAGACAAAGAACUUCACGCUAAGGACGGUGGGACCUGAUGGCAUCUGAGCUGGAAAGGCCCUCAGUGGCUUCGAGGCCAGCCCUGGAUCCUUCUGUGGCUGUGCAGGAGCAGGGAGUGGCAUGCAGAUACGGCAAAAACGAAGAUGCUGAAGCUGGGAAAAUGUGGUUCCUGAUCUCAAAACCGUUUGCAAACUGUCCAGUCCGCUACACCGGCGGAAGAAGCAGCAGUGCCUCAGGAAGGUGAAGCAGGGAACUGCAUCCAGCUGCCCAGGAACCCUAGCAUGUACCCAGACCGAG